rnacentral:rRNA from 1 species
CAGCCGCCGCGGUAAUACGUAGGGUGCGAGCGUUAAUCGGAAUUACUGGGCGUAAAGCGUGCGCAGGCGGUUUUGUAAGACAGGCGUGAAAUCCCCGGGCUCAACCUGGGAAUGGCGCUUGUGACUGCAAAGCUAGAGUGCGGCAGAGGGGGAUGGAAUUCCGCGUGUAGCAGUGAAAUGCGUAGAUAUGCGGAGGAGCACCGAUGGCGAAGGCAAUCCCCUGGGCCUGCACUGACGCUCAUGCACGAAAGCGUGGGGAGCAAACAGGAUUAGAUACCCCAGUAGUCCCUGUCUCUUAUAC